UUUUAUAAAGUUCAGAAUGAUUAGUGUGAUGCAUGUUGUGUGUUUUUAAAAUCUGUUUAUGUUGCCCUAUUUGUCAUUGUUAAAUAAUGUUAUUUUAAAACUUCACUAUUUUCUAGUCGUGUGUUGUAACACAGAAUGCAUAUCCUCAAUGUUUGGUUGAUAAAAUUUGCGUAGCUAAUAUCUGAAGGGAAAUCGCAAAAUACAAUCAAGAUAAACAAAUCGGAAAUUAAAAUUCAAGCCUUCGAUUGUUCGUUGUAAAUAUUCAUGAAUCAAGGAUUAUGCGAAUUACCAGUUGUAGCUCAGACCCUUUACCGACGAGAACUGAGACGAAUCUCCAACGUUGUUCAACCAACAAAAUCUCUAUGUAGUCCCAUGAAGGCUGAAGUUCCUAACUAAAUGAUAAUCUCCAAAUAUAUUCAAGAUUUCCACUGCAUUUUCUUAAUUAGAAAGUUAAUCUCCAAAAUAAACAUUACCCAAAUUCAAAGUUUACUUACCAUUUCAAAAUCAGUUUAUGAUCCUUAAGAAAUGAUCUGAAGCCUUGUGUAGGUUUGGACAAGGAAAACCACCUUUAGCAAAAAACUGCAGAAUCAAUUGUCACUAUGUAUCAUAUAACUUGAGUAUAAUAUAACUUAAAAGUAUAUGAUCGAAUAAUGUUAAAGUGGAACACAUAAAGUUGGUACAAUAUUAAUAUGAUAAAAAAAAACUAUUAAUUUGAAAGAAUCCUAUAUUUAAUAAUUCAUAAGGAUUUUGGUUACCUGAUUUACAUUAAAUUAGUCCCUUGUGUUAACAGAAAUCCAUAUAACCUGUGAAAGAAAUUAAUAAAUACAUAUGAAUCUACACUAUUUUUUGAAGGUGCAAAAAACAUAAGAGAGGGGUUUCAAUUGUGUUGGUCUCUUUUUAUGAUUGGAUAAAAAUAAUGUUGAAAAUAAAGAGAUAAGGGAUGAGAGAUGACACAAUAUAUAUAUUUAUUUUGGUUCACCCAUAAACUGAGAUUACGUUCAGUCCCCUUGCACUUUUCAAAGGAUUCUUCCACAUUAAUAAAAUCCUGAUUACAGCAACAACACCAAGACAGCUAGCCCUAGAUUUCCUUUACCUCAACCUAGAGGACUUUCUAAAGGGGGAGCUUUCGCGCAACCGGUAAAAUUGUUAUCAUGUGAUUGAAAGGUCAUGAAUUCAAGUCGUAGAAACAACCAAUGUAAAUAAAAGAAGGUACGGACGUGUACAAUACACCAAAUGGUUGAUGGAACUUUUUCCAAACUCUGCGCAUGCGGGAGCUUUAGUGCACUAGACUGUUUUUUUUUUAACCUAUCCUAAUUUUAAUCGAGAGAUUUACAAAAAAAUAUUACAACAUAUGUGUUUAUACAAACUAUAAUAGUAAAUAAAUUUACACAAAAAUUAAACACAAUACAUUAUAAGUGUAUCUCUGUUGGUUUUCUUUGACUUUUUCUAAUACAAGAUGUACAAUAUAAACAAGAUAAAAACAGAGUGCAGUAUAUUGUAUGUGUUUACAGGUUCAUAACCUACUUCAAUCAGAACUUGUCCUAUAUAUAGAUAAAGCUUCAUGAACGUUAGUGAAGAAUCUAUUGUCUUUGAAUAACUAAUUAAAUGCACAGAUUAUCUUGAUUACGUGCACUCUGCAAACCAUAUAUCCAUUCAUUUUUAUUAAUGAUGCUCUUAAUGAAUUUUCUUAGCAAAGAAUCCUUGCAUGCAUCAGUGACAUGUACUUAAUUCAGACACUUGGUACAAGGAAUCUCAAUCCAGAGGUUUGAAUCACAUAGUGUUAACUUCCACAAGUUCGACCUUGAUCUUGAUACAGAGCUAUGUCCUUAUAUAUGACAUAAAGCUUCACUUCAAGGUUUAGAGCGUUGACCAAAGUUCAUAGAGUUGACUUGGUCGAAAGACAGAAUUUCGUUUACUUAGAAUUUUCUACAACUUAAAACCACAUUUUUGAGUAUCCUUAUUGUUCUCAUAUGCAAUUAUUUUUCACUUAGAUGAUAUAAAAAUCUGUAGGGGUGAAUAUAAAAAAGUAACACAUAAAAAAAUAAAUAAAAAAUAAAAUAAAGGGUUAAAUAUGUUUUUGAUCGCCAUAAAAUUAGGACUUUCAAAGUUUAGUCCUCACUUAAUUUUAAUAGUUUUUUUAGUCUCUAUUAAAAACUUCUGCACUCAGUUUUAGUCCCUAGUAAAUUCAAACUUGUUUAAUUAUGCUUAUACUCUCAAGUUUUUGAACAACUUUUUUCAGAUGUGUUAAGAACAUUACUAAAAGUUCAGGCAAAUGGAUAUAUAAGGUUAAGCAUAAUGUUGAUGGCUCCAUAGAGAGGUAUAAAACAAGGUUGGUUGCCAAAGAAUACACAUUUUGACACUUACGCUUCUGUUGCUAAGUUAACCACUUGUUAUUGCUCUAGCUUCAAUCAACAACUAGUUUUUACAUUAGCUAGAUGUAAACAAUGCAUUUUUGCAUGGAGAACUUGAUUAUCGUACCUUAGCACUACCAGACCUGAUAUAACUUUCAUCACCCAACAACUGAGCCAAUAUCUUUAUGAUCCCACCAUUACUCAUCACAAUGUAGCCUUAAGAAUUCUCAGAUACUUAAAAGGUUCUCCUAGCAAGGGUUUAUUCUUUCCCAUAAAUUAUUCCAUCACUCUCCAAGGUUUCUUACAUGCAGAUUGGGCUGAAUGUCUUGGUACAAGGAUAUCUAUAUCUGGUCAAUGUUUCUUGUUAGGACAUUCCCACAUUUCUUGGAGAACCAAGAAACAAAUCAUUGUUUCUAGAUCCUCAUCUAUAGCAGAAUAUAGGGCUUUAACAUCAUCUACUUGUGAACUCCAAUGUCUCCUUUAUCUUCUUCAAGAUCUUUCGUUACUUAUUUCAAGCUUCAUGUCUUAUACUGUGAUAAUCAAAGUGCACUUAAUAUAGCUGUAAACCCUGUAUUUCAUGAGAGGACCAAACACUUCGAGAUUGACUGUCAUAUAAUCAUAGAAAAAUUGCAAGCUGGCAUCUUGAAGUUUCUCACAGUUUCUUCUCAAGACAAAUUGCAGUUUUCACCAAAUCACUCCUACGUCUUAAAUUAUUUUAAUUUUUCAACCGAAACAUAAAAAGUUACAAUUUUACUCCGAGUAAAUAUAUAUUCAGGGGUCAAAUACUCUUCCCUAACCUAGGAUGGAGUAUAUUUUUACGUGAAUGUGUUUAAUGAUGUGUCUGAAUAGGACCAUACGAAUACUGACUUUUCCAUUCAUGAAAAUGUAUACAGUGGACUUCUAAAAUUUAUUUUGUUGGUUAGAGUAAAUUUCAGAGUAGAACCAUAAAUGUUCAUAAAUACUUAUGCUAGUUAUAGUGAAUGAUGAAAACUAUUCGAUAGUGCACGUAGACACAUUCACGUAAAAUCAAACACUUAUAACAAUCUCAGUCGUUCAUUGACAUCAUGCAUUAUAACAAUCUCAGUCAUUCAUUGACAUCAUGCGGUUGAAGUUUUAACUGCGUCAACCACUUAUAAUAAAUUUCCUAGAAUCACCAAAAAUCAUUGUGUUUUUGAAAAAACUAAUCUUUAUUUUAUUUUGCUAACGAGUGUACUUCUCUUUAAGGAUAUUUAAUUAAAAAAGUAUUCACUAAAAAAAGUUUAAUAAUUAAAUUUCAGGUGCAUUUAAUGCAUAAAUUUUCAUAAAAAUUUAUCUAAAGUUCUUAAAGAGUGCAAUUCGAACAUUCAUUAGUAGUUACCUUCUUUAAAAGAUCUACGAUAUUACAGUGUUAUCGUGAUUUUGACAAAUCUAUUGAUUGUAGGGAAAUAAUAGAUACAAUGACAAAAUGUAUCAAGAAAAUUUCUACGAUACUACAUCCCUUGAUUUCCGGCAAAUAACAAAUUUAAUUGACUGAGAUAUUUUCUUGAUAAAAACUCUCUAGAUAAAUAACAAUGCUCUUUCCUUAAAAGAAAAAUGCUCUUGAUUACUAAAUAUGUUUUGCGAGUUUACACUCAUGAAAAUAGAAAAAAAAAAACUAAGGAUGAGCAAACAUUGUAAAUAGGUUAGAUUAAAAACAAGCAGUUGUCAAAUCUUACAUUCAAAAGUUUUGUCAAAAAUAAAAUAAAAUCUUUCAUUCAAGUUUUAAUAAAGGGAAAUACUAAUAAUUAAUGUCCUUGGAGCACUUGUUUAGAAGCUGAAAGAAGAAAUUUAUAUUUGCGAAUUGUGUAUUUAACACAUUGAUUAGCACUUGUCUAAGAAAACUUGUUAGCGUAACACUUUAAUACACAAUUUAUGUUUGUUAGCAUAAACCUCAUUGCCUCUUUUGAACACAAAAAAAUGUAUCAAAGGCUUAAUAGUUAACAUGUGUGAAACAAAGGCUUAAUAACUAUAGAAAUAUAGAGAAUUUGUAAUAAAUUGACAAAGAUAAAGAAUUCCUAGGAAUUUCUUAAUAAAGACUAGAAUAAAUUAUCUAAUAUAAGAUGGAAUACAUAACCCUUUUUAUAUAUCCAAAGUGUAGGUAGAUAGAGAAUUAACCGAAAAUAAACCAAAUUGAAUACCGGUAUUAGAAAAGAACCAAGGAUAACACUAACUUAUCAUAAACACUAAAGAUAAAAUGAAUAUCAUUAAACACAAAUGGAAAAUAAAAUGAUUGAACAUAUAUCAAUGAGCAUUCUUAACUUCAAAAAACUGAUAAUGUUUAUAUCAAAUUCAUCUUUUACUAACUUUGACUUUGAAUCCAUGUUCCAUGCGGAGAACAAUAGAAACUCUUGGAGUUACAGAAUGACCUUCCACAACUUGUAUGUGAAACUUCCAUAACAUAGCAGCUGCAACCAUUUUCAUUUGAACAAUGCUAAUAUCUUUCCCAAGACAACUUCGAGGACCUGCAUUAAAUGCUAUGAACUUGCAAGAUGGUACAUGCAAAAUAUGUCCUUUAUCUGAUAUCCAUCUCUCGGGCUUAAAUUCGAAGCGAUCCUUACCCCAUAUUUGUUUCAUCCUUCCCAUUGCAUACAAAGAGUAUAUUAACUUAGUAUUUGGUUUAACAUAAUCUCCACUAGGUAGUAUAUCAGCUUUGAUUGCACACUUGUGCUGAAAUGGUACAGGAGGAUAAAGCCUCAAUGCUUCACAUAUAGCUCCAUGAAGGUACACUAGUUUAUUAAGCUUUUCAACUCUUAAAUUAGUGACCAAAUUAUCCUCAUGUGAUAGACAAUUAUCUUUUAUCUCUUGAAUUAUUUUAGCUUCCACUAUGAAAUGAGUUGAAACAAGCCAAGAGAACCAACUUAGACCUGAACUAACUGUUCCACUUCCUGCAGCUAAGAGAUUGAAUGCAGUGUCUCUAAUAUACUUAUCAAUUUCAACCAUUUCCUCAUUUCCCAAGCCUUCCUUCAUCAGUGCCUUUAGCAAGUAAAAAUGGCUUUCAUCAAAAUCUUCACCGUUUCGCAAUCUUCUUCUCUCUUCAUCACCUUUGGAAUAAUAAGUUAUACAUUUGGACAAGAAUUGGUGAAGAUUUUCUUGAGCUACCUUGUACUUCUUCUCUUGACCAAUUUGUAGCCAUUUUUGUAACUUCCAAAAGUAUUUUGGAAUAUAGUGCCUAGACAAUAUUGUAUCCUCAAUAAUCGAAAUAGCUUUUACAUGAGCAAUCUCUGGUAAUUCAUUGAACUUGUAAGGAAGGAACCUAGGAUCAAAUCCAAACAACAAAAUGCAUGUAAUAUCAAAGGUAAACCUCUCAAGAAUAUCUUGUAAAUCAAGUACCUGUACACUUUUGGAUGCAUGAUCAAGAAAUCGUAAUAGGAAAUUCUCUAGCUUCUUUUGAAUGUUUUGUUGAAAGGAUAUCUCAAAACUUUUCCCUUUGAGCAAUGAAUGAAGUAGUGUCCUCUCUUGUUUCCAUUCUUCGAAAUCCAAAUUUAAAAUACCAACACCUAAAACAUCAAAAAUUUCAUGGAAAUCAGUUCCUUUCCCAUAGUUGCUAAAAUUCUUGCUAGUGAUGUGAUGCACAUUCAAAUGAUCACUGGUGAGGAUAAAAUUGGCAAUGUUUGUGAACCAAGGUCCUUUAAAAUGAAAAGUGCCUCUACAAAGUUUCAAUCCUAAAGUUACAAAAUCAUGAAGAUUGGAUUGAUUAUGCAAAACGAAUGGUAGCAUGCCAAUUAUUGGCCAAUUUGUUACAAGUACAUUUUGGUUGCGUCUCCAUAUAUAGUAAAAUAUGACUAGUAGAAUUGCUACAAAUAAUGUAAUAUACUGAAACAAAGUCAUUGCUCUUAGACUAGGAAUUUGUGAUUCAAAUUUUUCCUUGUGAGUGAUAUCUUCAAGAAGAGUAUAUGGGUAUAAAUACUAACAUUCAAGCAUGUGUUUCAAUUUGUGUGUAUGAUAGGAUAUUCAGAAUAAGGAGCAUUAAUGUGGUGACUCGGCUAGUUCUAGAAGUUAUUAUGACUCACCUUAAUCUAGACGAUCUAGAAGGUAUAUUGUUAGGGGAUAAUAUCGAGUAUGUUAGGGAGUCUAUAUAAGUAUUGUAUGCCUUAUUAUGAGAAUGAAUGAAAAAAUACAAUGAAUUUAUUUUCUUUUAUCUUUAACCUCUCUCGAAAUUCUGGAGUGUGAUACCUAUUCGAAUUGGGUCGUAUAAGUGUAUUAUAUGAUGUAUUAUAUGAUGAAUAGUAUAAGAUAGACUUAAUGCAUUUUGAGUCUCCUUGUUAUCACAAAUCCACAGUUUUAAUCAUCUUAUUUUUAAUUAAGAAAUUUUGGUCUUUUGAUUUUAAAUUUUUUAGACAAUUUGACCGGUUACUAAUUUUGAACAACAUUUUGAUGAUUUGUCGGUUUUUUUAUAACUGCUCACAUGAAUAAGAUGUUUAUGUGACGAUCACACAUAAUUUAUAAUUUUAAAAUAACUCAACGAUAUGAUUUGCUCAUCUGAGAAUCUAGAAAUAGUUCAACGCUUCAUGAUGCUGUUGUGAGGACUUUGGAACAAUAGAAACGAUAUGAUUUGGAACCAAAAACAUUUAGUUGCACAUGAUAUAUGCUUGAAUGUUAACUGGUUUUGGCAGAAGUGGUAUGCGGUCCAGGAUUUGCGUAACAAUGGCAGACAACAAGCUGAUAUUGACUUUAAUAUGAGGUGGCAAAUUCCAGAAUAUGGCAGACUUAUGUGUAAUGUCGAUGCUAGUUUCCACCGAGCUUCGGACAAAACCGGGAUAGGUUGUUGUGUUCGUAACAAUGCAGGUAUAUUUGUUUCAGCAUUAACCUCUUGGACGCGACCGGAACUGUCUCCACAUGAGGGUGAGACACUGGGGUUGUGGCAAGCUAUGUCUUGGGCUUUUAGUAGCGGCUUCCAAAAUGUGAUAUUUGAAACAGACUCCAAGAUGCUUGUGGAUGCUGUUCAUUCAGAUAGUGCAGGUAUUCCUAAAUUUUAUGUCAUUGUUUCUAAGAUUAGAGGUUUGUUAGCAUUACAUUACAACUUUGAGGUAAAGUUUGUUCGACGUCAAGCAAAUAUGGUUGCUCAUACCUUAGCAAAGGCAACCAUUUCAAAUGUUAAUCGUCAUGUUUAUGAUUAUGCUCCUCUUUGUAUUCAAUAUUAUUUAAGAAAUGAUAUGAGCUGAGUUUUGUUUGUUUAAAAAAAAAAAAAAAAAACUCAACAUAUUUAUGUAUAGAAAUUAAACUAUUUUUAAAGGAUUUAAUUUGUAUUCACCACAAGAAUCAUCAUAACUCAGCCUCUAGGAAGUGCCACGGUCACGACCAUCUCCGUCGUGGACCUUUCCUCUCCUCAUGCAUCGUCUUGUCUUGUUAGGGAAUGAUUUUUUGGCUUAAAGACAGUUUUGGUCAUUCUAUUUUGAUGAAAUCCUAAUUUUAGUCUACCUAUUAUUUUAGCAAAACCGAAGUUUGGAUCUCCUGUUUCAUAAAUUUUUACUAUCGAUUUGAUGAUUUGCAAAAAAAAAAAAGGUGACAUUGCAUUAAAAAAAUAGGUAAGUGAAAGUCAUGUCAUAUUUAUAUGCAUUUUAAAUGAAAAAAAAAGGUACUAAAUAUUGAAAUGAAUAAAAGGUUUUUUUUUCUUCACCGUUUAUUGCUGGACCGGUUGCGUCCAAUCCAUUAUGGUUAAACUCACCAACAUAAGAAAACAAUUCAGAUUGAAAUGUCAUUUUCUAACUUUAAAAACAUAUAAAUAUCAUAUGACUUUCACUUGUCCUUUUGUUCUAAUGUCAUGUCAUUUAAUUUAUUGUCACAUCAGAUUGAAAUGUUAAAAUUAUGUGUUGGUAGAAAUUUAUGGAUCAAGGGUCUAAAUUUACAAUUUUGCUAAAAUAAAUGGAUCAAAAUUACACAAUUAAAAUUAAUGAGAAAAAAAUGGAGGUUUUGUUAAAUAGUGGGACCAAAAUUACAAUUAAAUCUUUUUAACUGUCUUUCUACAUAUUUCUAACCAAUUUUGUAUAUUUACGAAGCAUCAUAUGAUAUUGCAAAAUGUAUUUUAAGUCAUAUAAAAAUUAAAAAUUAUAUACAUUGGUGACCGGGAUACCACCAAAGUUUUUACUAAGGCGAGAUUCCACGUAACAUCCUAUCCAUGUCCACAUCACUAUAAAAAUGACACAUCAUUAAAAUAUGGUCAUGAUGAUUGAACUUUUUUUUAAGAUAAAUUAUUGAAAUUCUUAAACUCAAUCAUAAAAAUUGCUUAAUUAAGUCCGUCAUUAAGACCACCGGUGAGAUACACGCGAAAUACGUGCAAGAUCAUCAUUAAGACCAUCAUAUUUGCCGACGAUCGAUGAACUGAUCGGAUUAACCAACCAAAGUUAGCCACAACCAUUAUAUAUUGAACAAAAGCAAAAGCCUCCGUAACGGUCGGAUGAUAAUAAAAAGUCAUAGCAAAACUCGUCGCUACUUGGACUAAAAAACAAGCAAGUGUAAUUCCUCCUAAACAAUAAAAUAUAUUGACAUGAGGAGGAACAUAUUUACUAGUUAUAUCAUCGGCAAUCGCCUGAAUCUCAAGACGUUCUUCGAACCAAUCAUAUACUUUAUUGAGAUAGGUAAACCAAAGGACCCCCCCGAGAACCGUAUAUGAGAAUUUCAUCUCGUAUGACUCAAACAAAAAUACUAGUAAUUUGGAAAACGGAUAUGUGGAAUAGAAAGUUUUAAACUUCUUAACUUAAUCCUAUGAUUCCAAUCUUUUUUGUAAAUAAAAAAUGGAAAUCCAAAAGGUAUUAUUUGUGUUUAUAAUGCCCAAAAUUUCAAGUCGGCUCGCUCGUCUUUUCUCUUGAUCCUUACCGGCCUCUUGAAUAUUCUAUUAUUCACCU
rnacentral:lncRNA from 1 species